UACGUAGGGUGCGAGCGUUAAUCGGAAUUACUGGGCGUAAAGCGUGCGCAGGCGGUCUUUUAAGACAGGUGUGAAAGCCCCGGGCUUAACCUGGGAAUUGCAUUGAGGACUGGCGUGCUCGAGUGCGGCAGAGGGGGGUGGAAUUCCACGUGUAGCAGUGAAAUGCGUAGAGAUGUGGAGGAACACCGAUGGCGAAGGCAGCCCCCUGGGCCGACACUGACGCUCAUGCACGAAAGCGUGGGGAGCAAACAGG
rnacentral:rRNA from 1 species